rnacentral:lncRNA from 1 species
GACAGACAUUAACAUUCAUUAAAGAAAAGCUGGGGAAAAAAACAGAUUUAGGAAUUCAGGAACCAGAGAAGCAACUACGUGGCUUGCAAUCUGUUAUUAUUUAACAGAAUCUUAUGAACUGAUAAACUUGAUCACUUGUAAUAUCUGGGCAUACCAGUCAGUUAAAAUAUUCAGUGGAAGAAAUCUGACUCCGUUGCAGCCCAGAAAAGUUUAUGAAGCUUUAAGCACUAGUUUAAAAGACAAAGCUGCUAAAUGUGCCAAUUAAUGAAAGUAAUUUUUGGAUACAAUGCCUUAAUGCUUAACGCUGUUUGGUAGUGCUUAGGCUGUGCUGUCACUAAUUAUGAGGCAAGCAAAUAGCGGCAGACAGCUGGAGAAACCUUUGAAGGCAUGCUGCUGCUGCUUCUUACAGGUUAAAUUCUGUCUCAAGGAAUUGAAUUGGGGCGUUGCUACUCAAGUAACAGCAAUGGAAAUUCUGGCUGUAAAAGAAGAUGGAUGUUGCCCAGUAACAUGGGGAUCUCAGUAAUCCACAGAUUGACUGGCUCAGAAUGACUGAAAAGGAGAAAAUUCUGAAGCAAAGAAGAAACAAAAUAUGAGAACAAAAAGAUUAUGGUGAAAAUAUGAAUAUGAAUAUAUGAAAAUUAUGCGAAGUGAAAUGCUGUUAUAUUGAUGAUUCAUCACCAAACUUUAGUACAGUAUCAUUUAUUAAUGAAUUUUAUGCUAAGUGUAAACGGAAGCCAACAAAGAAGAGAACAUAUGAGGAAAAAGUCCCAAUCAUGUUUUCCAAAUGUCAGUAUACAACAGGCUAUAUACUCUUCCAGUAGUCUAAAUGGUUGAACUGGUAUCAAGCUGGAAACCUGAGUGUUAUUUAUUUAUUGAGGGACUUUUUGCUGCCUUUUGCUUUCAAGAAGCUGAAAGGCAAAUUAGAUAAAAGACUUGGACUAUAAACAGAGCUGGCUAGAACUCGAAUGUUUGAGGGAAUCCUUGCAGUCCUGCACCAUCUGCCAUUUAGGGCACUGAGAAAAUGCUGC